CACACUAUCAUUAACUGAAUCCAUAGGUUAAUGAGGCGAACCGGGGGAACUGAAACAUCUAAGUACCCCGAGGAAAAGAAAUCAACCGAGAUUCCCCCAGUAGCGGCGAGCGAACGGGGAGGAGCCCAGAGCCUGAAUCAGUGUGUGUGUUAGUGGAAGCGUCUGGAAAGGCGCGCGAUACAGGGUGACAGCCCCGUACACAAAAAUGCACAUGCUGUGAGCUCGAUGAGUAGGGCGGGACACGUGGUAUCCUGUCUGAAUAUGGGGGGACCAUCCUCCAAGGCUAAAUACUCCUGACUGACCGAUAGUGAACCAGUACCGUGAGGGAAAGGCGAAAAGAACCCCGGCGAGGGGAGUGAAAAAGAACCUGAAACCGUGUACGUACAAGCAGUGGGAGCCUCUUUAUGGGGUGACUGCGUACCUUUUGUAUAAUGGGUCAGCGACUUAUAUUCUGUAGCAAGGUUAACCGAAUAGGGGAGCCGAAGGGAAACCGAGUCUUAACUGGGCGUUAAGUUGCAGGGUAUAGACCCGAAACCCGGUGAUCUAGCCAUGGGCAGGUUGAAGGUUGGGUAACACUAACUGGAGGACCGAACCGACUAAUGUUGAAAAAUUAGCGGAUGACUUGUGGCUGGGGGUGAAAGGCCAAUCAAACCGGGAGAUAGCUGGUUCUCCCCGAAAGCUAUUUAGGUAGCGCCUCGUGAAUUCAUCUCCGGGGGUAGAGCACUGUUUCGGCAAGGGGGUCAUCCCGACUUACCAACCCGAUGCAAACUGCGAAUACCGGAGAAUGUUAUCACGGGAGACACACGGCGGGUGCUAACGUCCGUCGUGAAGAGGGAAACAACCCAGACCGCCAGCUAAGGUCCCAAAGUCAUGGUUAAGUGGGAAACGAUGUGGGAAGGCCCAGACAGCCAGGAUGUUGGCUUAGAAGCAGCCAUCAUUUAAAGAAAGCGUAAUAGCUCACUGGUCGAGUCGGCCUGCGCGGAAGAUGUAACGGGGCUAAACCAUGCACCGAAGCUGCGGCAGCGACACUAAGUGUUGUUGGGUAGGGGAGCGUUCUGUAAGCCUGUGAAGGUGUACUGUGAGGUAUGCUGGAGGUAUCAGAAGUGCGAAUGCUGACAUAAGUAACGAUAAAGCGGGUGAAAAGCCCGCUCGCCGGAAGACCAAGGGUUCCUGUCCAACGUUAAUCGGGGCAGGGUGAGUCGACCCCUAAGGCGAGGCCGAAAGGCGUAGUCGAUGGGAAACAGGUUAAUAUUCCUGUACUUGGUGUUACUGCGAAGGGGGGACGGAGAAGGCUAUGUUGGCCGGGCGACGGUUGUCCCGGUUUAAGCGUGUAGGCUGGUUUUCCAGGCAAAUCCGGAAAAUCAAGGCUGAGGCGUGAUGACGAGGCACUACGGUGCUGAAGCAACAAAUGCCCUGCUUCCAGGAAAAGCCUCUAAGCAUCAGGUAACAUCAAAUCGUACCCCAAACCGACACAGGUGGUCAGGUAGAGAAUACCAAGGCGCUUGAGAGAACUCGGGUGAAGGAACUAGGCAAAAUGGUGCCGUAACUUCGGGAGAAGGCACGCUGAUAUGUAGGUGAAGCGACUUGCUCGUGGAGCUGAAAUCAGUCGAAGAUACCAGCUGGCUGCAACUGUUUAUUAAAAACACAGCACUGUGCAAACACGAAAGUGGACGUAUACGGUGUGACGCCUGCCCGGUGCCGGAAGGUUAAUUGAUGGGGUUAGCGCAAGCGAAGCUCUUGAUCGAAGCCCCGGUAAACGGCGGCCGUAACUAUAACGGUCCUAAGGUAGCGAAAUUCCUUGUCGGGUAAGUUCCGACCUGCACGAAUGGCGUAAUGAUGGCCAGGCUGUCUCCACCCGAGACUCAGUGAAAUUGAACUCGCUGUGAAGAUGCAGUGUACCCGCGGCAAGACGGAAAGACCCCGUGAACCUUUACUAUAGCUUGACACUGAACAUUGAGCCUUGAUGUGUAGGAUAGGUGGGAGGCUUUGAAGUGUGGACGCCAGUCUGCAUGGAGCCGACCUUGAAAUACCACCCUUUAAUGUUUGAUGUUCUAACGUUGGCCCCUGAUCGGGGUUGCGGACAGUGUCUGGUGGGUAGUUUGACUGGGGCGGUCUCCUCCUAAAGAGUAACGGAGGAGCACGAAGGUUGGCUAAUCCUGGUCGGACAUCAGGAGGUUAGUGCAAUGGCAUAAGCCAGCUUGACUGCGAGCGUGACGGCGCGAGCAGGUGCGAAAGCAGGUCAUAGUGAUCCGGUGGUUCUGAAUGGAAGGGCCAUCGCUCAACGGAUAAAAGGUACUCCGGGGAUAACAGGCUGAUACCGCCCAAGAGUUCAUAUCGACGGCGGUGUUUGGCACCUCGAUGUCGGCUCAUCACAUCCUGGGGCUGAAGUAGGUCCCAAGGGUAUGGCUGUUCGCCAUUUAAAGUGGUACGCGAGCUGGGUUUAGAACGUCGUGAGACAGUUCGGUCCCUAUCUGCCGUGGGCGCUGGAGAACUGAGGGGGGCUGCUCCUAGUACGAGAGGACCGGAGUGGACGCAUCACUGGUGUUCGGGUUGUCAUGCCAAUGGCACUGCCCGGUAGCUAAAUGCGGAAGAGAUAAGUGCUGAAAGCAUCUAAGCACGAAACUUGCCCCGAGAUGAGUUCUCCCUGACUCCUUGAGAGUCCUGAAGGAACGUUGAAGACGACGACGUUGAUAGGCCGGGUGUGUAAGCGCAGCGAUGCGUUGAGCUAACCGGUACUAAUGAACCGUGAGGCUUAACCUUACAACGCCGAAG
rnacentral:rRNA from 1 species